GAUGAACGCUGGCGGCGUGCUUAACACAUGCAAGUCGAACGGAAAGGUGCGGCUCUUGCUGGGUGGUCGUGUGGCGAACGGGUGAGAAAAACGCGUGUAAAAUCUACUUGACUUAGUGGUAUCUCCUGGGGAAUGGGGCGCAUACCGGAUAUGAGAUCUUGCUGCACAGUGGUGGUUGGUAAGUGUCGGUGGUUGGGGCUGGUCUCGCGGCGUACCAGCUAGUUGGUGUGGUAAUGGGUUACCAAGGCUUCGACGGGAAGCCCGCGUGAGCGGGUGAUCGCCCACACUGGAACGGAAACAGGGUCAAGACUACUACGGGAGGGAGCAGUAGGGAAUCGUACGCAAUGGGCGAAAGCAUGACGGAGCAACGCGGAGUGAGUGAUGACGGUGUCCGGAUCGUAAUACUCUGUUACGAGGGGAAAACAAAUGUGUAAGUAACUAUGCACGGCUUGACGGUACCUGAUCAGAAAGCCACGGCUAACUACGUG
rnacentral:rRNA from 1 species